UACGGGGGGUGCAAGCGUUGUUCGGAUUUAUUGGGCGUAAAGAGCGUGUAGGCGGUUUGUUAAGUCUGAUGUGAAAGCCCUGGGCUCAACCCAGGAAGUGCAUUGGAAACUGGCAGACUUGAAUACGGGAGAGGGCAGUGGAAUUCCUAGUGUAGGAGUGAAAUCCGUAGAUAUUAGGAGGAACACCGGUGGCGAAGGCGGCUGCCUGGACCGAUAUUGACGCUGAGACGCGAAAGCGUGGGUAGCAAACAGG
rnacentral:rRNA from 1 species